rnacentral:lncRNA from 1 species
CCCGGGGUGUCCGCUCCCCAAGUGCCGGCGCGCCGGGGGGGUGCGGGUGGAGGCUGGGGCAGCCCCUUUGUUUUGGGGACGGGUGGGCGGCCGGCAAGUUUCGGAAAAGCGUUGCGUUUCUCCCCGGUACCCCUUUGUCUGCCGCUCCUGGGGCUGGCGGGGCAGACGUGUGCCACCCGGAGUCUCCCGUGGAGGGAGGGAGCCUACUCAUCCCCGGGGCGCGGGUGGCACACCGGAAUCGGGUGGAAGCGUGGCGACGAGCAGUGCCGUGAGUGGCGGGCGAGGCGGCGCGGGCUCCGGGUCUGCUCCCGUUUGUUUCCGAGGCGCAGAAACUGUCAAGGAAGUCGGGAGCCCCUUCCCCACACUCGCCCUCGGGGACCUGGCCUGGGGCGACCAGAGAGGGCACGGCGCUGGGCAGGCGAGGGUCUGCCGAGCGCGGCCUGGGGAGGGUGCAGACCUGUUGCUCCCGGGCUCUGGGGGAUCCCCACGUCUGCAGCACCCCCGCCCUCCCCUCUGGGGAUCUUCACUAAUACGGGGGCCAGGGCUCGGGGCGCGUGUGUGUGUGCACGCUCCUUAAGGAGCUGGAGUUCGCCGGCUGUGACAACUUUGGGUGCCUGGAGGCCCGCCGGCGCCGGGGUACUGCCUGGACUUCACGUGCGUCCCUGCGCACCGACAGGCUGGACCCCGGGCUCGCUCACAGCACGGCCUGGCGUUCUCCGAGCCAAGAGCAUUGGAAAUUGCACAAAGUUAGGGCCCGGCACGUUUCUUUUUAAGUUGUUGAUGUUGUGGAACAGAACCCUAAAAAAAAAAUGUGUCAAAUCUCAUUGCCAAGCAUCCCCAAAGUAUUGCUAGUGCUCCUGCUUUGCAUUGUGUGCGGCCCGCCCCGACUUCUGGAUGUUUUCCUCCGGACGGGAGGAGGAAUGACUCCCUGGUUUAACCUGGGACUCUAAGAGGGGGAGGGGAGGGGUCCUAGACGGUGGCUUGGGAGGGGAGGAAAUGGCUCGUGACGAUUUUACGGAAAGUUUACUACCAGUCAUUCCUAGAAAAGACGCA